rnacentral:lncRNA from 1 species
CCACUUUAAGAAUGUACUGCCUCUUCAUCAGAAACUGAAGUAGAUCACGGACAGUACGUGAGUCACCAGUUCGGUGCUGUCCAAUGUCCGCUCUAUUUAAGAGGGUGUGCCCACAUCAGCAAUACGUGCUGAACAAUGAAAAAGAUCAAAGGUUUAAUGCAACGUGAUCAGGAAAGACAGGUCACGGAUAGUGCAUGAGCCGCCAGUUCUACUGGCCACGUAUUUGAUAUUGUGUGCCCACUGCAAGCUGCCACAUGUACGGUAACACAAAGUUCAUCAACAAUUUAAUAAAGCAAUGCAAUGCAUCCUACGUACGACCAUUAUUUGAGAGCACAGAGUCCUCAAAUCAAGUAGUAGCUCUUCUCAUCUUUUUUUGUGUCCUUUUGCAGACUUGAUUGACCGAAAGAAAAUUCAAUUGAUAGCUAGGCUCCAGAUUCCAGAACAGCACUAUGCGUCGUGUGCCUUCAGGGGCAAUAGCCGCUAGUGGAAGCAUUUAUUAAAAGAAAACUAAGUUAUAGAACACCGAAACCCUUUCUCCUAGCAAGUUGUUUCAUUUAAAUUUUGAGCCUCCUCACAAAGCAUAUGGGAAGUUCCAUUCCAUGGCAUACUUGUAAAAAGAAAAGUUCUUGUUCAAAUUAUUCCUCUUCCUUGUCUGCCCCCUUUCCAAGAAUGCAAUGCAUGCAGAUGCAGUAAACUUUGUAAAAAUUAUGCCACAAAUGUGCAUGAAAGCACUUUUAUCUGUCAUAGUAGAUCUUAUUACAUAUUUUUAUUAACUUUAUUAAAAUAUACUAUCCUGGUCUUAAAAUAGAAGUCAUAAUUUGACUAAGGUGGUUUUCAAGAUCAUACUUUGGCCACUAAUUUCUCUUAUAAUAUAUAAUACAAUUUUUAUAUAUUAGAAAUUUAUUUCUAAAUAUGAAAUGUAAUGUAACCGCUUUUGUACUAUAGACUUUUCAUAUAAUUAGGCUAGAUAAUAAAACUUAUUAAAUUUUGAAAUAUAUGUAUGCCUUGUUCUUCGGGGCCGAGGGAGUAACCGUUUGGAUCCCAAGACUAAAAUUAGCCUAUCUUAUGACAAUAGGUUUUAAACAUGGGCUAAUGUUUUAACCACCAAUUAGCUCUAUUAGCUAUUAUUAGCCAAAAAAUAGCCCAUGUUUAGUCAUUCUCUUUUGGCAUACAAAAAUAGAGGCUAACUGUUAGCCCCUUGUAUCAAACAGGCCCUAGCAAAUGAUAUGAAUGAAUGAAGUUCAUUAAAGACAAUGACAUGCUAAAAGACAAUUAAAAGUGAACAAAGCUACAAUGAUACGCUAAAAGGCAAGUAAAAGAACAGAUAUAGGUACCUCCAUUUACCCCAGGUACAUAUCUUGAGAAGCUGAGAUUAGUCCAGUAUAAGAUCAGCCAUUAGGUAAACUAUAAUUUCUUUUUCAUGACCGUGUCUAAGUGAAUUUUCCAUAUUAAGAGGAAAAGAGGGUUAGAACACACAUGGACUUAGUAAGCCAAGGCUUACCAGGACCAACACGAUCCCUGCAAGACUAGUCUAAGGGAUCAAGCAAAGUUUACAAUUAAGCAGUUACAUACCAACAAUUAGUGACCGAACAACUAAUCGAAUAUUAACCACUCUAAGAGAAGCAGCAAACAUAGAGACACAAAUAGCUGCAAAAUGCAGAGGCACUAUAAACAUUCAUAAAAACAAAACCAACAUAGGAGGAAUUGGCACUAUAAUCCUUCGUUGACUUUAGUAUCUUAAUAUCGGGCAGCAGUAUAUGGAUAGCGUAGCCUCCAGUAGUAUGUAAUUAGCUUAUGUAACAGUAGGGGUGGCACGGAGCCAUUUUUGUGCUCUGGGCAAUAGGGGUUGGGGCUGGCACAACCUGUGCCAGGAAAAGCCUCUUUCUUGUAAUUACACUAUCAAGCUCUUAUUAAUGAAAGCCGGGAUUCCGGAUCUUUCGAAAAAAAAAACUUUAGUAUCUCAAAGCAUCAGUACUCAGUAGUAUUCACUAAUUGACAGUUGCUCAAAAUGCCAUAUUAUUAAUAAGUUCUGGUAGCAUUUAACUAAGAAAAACAACAAUUGGAAUGAUCAAUAUGGUUGGUCAAAACACAUUGACACCUUGCCGAUAUCUGAAAAUAAGUUGAAAGACAGAGCAAGGUACCUUUAUUUAGAGCCUUUUAUACUCCAGAAUCCAGAGCACUAGUAGUGCCUGCUGAGCCACAGUCAUUUCAAUGAGGGUGUUUUAUGUGAAAUGGCUGAAAAGUCCUGCUUCAAUGCGUUAGUAAUCAUUAACAGUGCCUUCCUGUCCUAACCAAUAAUGCAAAGUCCUUGAUUACCUCAUCCUGUAUCCUCCUACGGUUCAGUGAAACAUACCAGUAUCCCCAUUUCAUCUUGAUACCAUAGACAAAUGCAGAUUCAACCAUACUUUUUCGAUCAUUACGUCUGCUGAGCCAUUGCAUGUAAAUGUAUUAUAAUGAGCAGGCGAUCCCUUGCCAUCCUGUGGAACAGUCCAACACCAACCUAGAGCAUCCCUGAAACGCAAAUUCAGAGCAAACGAGAAGUGCUUGCUAUAUAAAUUUGCUCAGGAGUCAGGAAUCCCAUAGUCCAGCUAUUGUGACAGAGUGCAGAUUGGCAGUACAUCUGUAUAUGCACACACUUCUG